AGGGCGGAAGCAGGAGAGGGAACAGCAGGUGUGGAGGCCUUGCCAUGGGGAGGAACUACGAACCAGCUAGCUCAAUGACGAAGUUUUGCUCUUCUUGUCCAGGAUGGAGUGCAAUGGCGUGAUCUCGGCUCACUGGGUUCAGGCAAUUCUCCUGCCUCAGCCUCCUGAGUAGCUGGGAUUACAGGCAUCCACCACCAUGCCCGGCUAAUUUUUUGUGUUUUUAAUAGAGACAGAGUUUCUCCAUGUUGGCCAGGCUAGUCUCAAACUUCUGACCUCAGGUGAUCCACCUGCCUCAGCCUCCCAAAGUGCUGGGAUUACAGGUGAGAGCCACUGCGCCCGGCCCAUUCUGGGACUUCUGAGCUCUAACCUUAAGAAGAUCAGCAGCUUCUGCGUCCUUCCUCUUAAAAUGCACCUUCUUGGAAAACCCAGCUGUGAGGAAUCUCAAACAGCCACGUGGAGAACUGAGGCCCCAGCCAAGACUAGCAGGAGAGUGAGGCCAUCCCAAAUCCCCAGCAACCACCAGAUGAAGCAGAACUGCCUGGUCAACCCACAGAG
rnacentral:lncRNA from 1 species